rnacentral:tRNA from 1 species
GGGAAUGUGGCUUAGUGGUCAAGUGCUUGCCUGGCAGGCAUGAAGCCCUGGGUUCAAUUCCUCAGUACCA